AUGCCCGCCGACUUACCACCGGAGUGGGAUGCCAUGUCUGCCAAGGAGCAUACGAUAUGGUAUCUCGCAUCCUUCAUCUCCAGGAUUGAAGGCAUGACUGCUGAGCUCGUUGCUGCUAACGCACGACUCGACUCGGCUGCUUCCUCGUCUAAAAAACCAUCGGCCCUGGUCGCGCCCAGCACUGACCUCACCAUCGACCCCACCAGUGUCUCCUUCUCCACCGCCAAGGCCCCGGAGGUCCUUGAGCUCGUCCAUGAUUCGUCUCCGGUGUGCAUCGCGAUGGUGCCCGUCACCUGUUCGAUGGAGUGCUCGACCCAGGUCCACACCAUCGACAUCAUCGACAAGGUCCAUGACGCCGCCACUGCCGUCCAUCUCGAGCCCACGGUCGACAGCAUCGACGAGGUCCAUGACGUCGUCACCGCCGUCCACCUCGAUCCCACGGUUGACCCCAUCCACCAAGUGGUCGAGCUUGCAGUCGACCGCACCAUCGGCGCCACUGUCACUGCAGUCUCCACCGACGUCUCCUUCUCCACCUUCAAGGCCCCGGAGGUCCUCCAGAUCGUCCAUGAUGCAUCCCCUGAUUGCAUGGAGAUGGUGCACGUCACGUGUUCAACAGAAUGCUCGCACCAGGUCGCCACCAUCGGCAUCGUCAACGAGCGUUUGACGGAAUACCACAUCCACGAAGUCGAUCAGGGCAUCAAGCAGCAACCAUGGCCGCCUCCAAUUCGAGUGCAGAUCGCAACAGAUGAUGAUAUGCAGGUCCUUGGCAAAGUUGUGGAUGAUGGUACUGGCUCUGUGUGGUGGCUACCUGACCACCAGCCAAGGAUGGAAAUCAAGUUGCCAGAACGGCAUCAUCAUAUUCAGUUACAGACUUUAUUUGUCACUUCUGUGGAGUUGCAACCAUGGCCUUCUGGGCAGCUCACUUUCUUGGUUUCCGCUAGUUGUAGUGAGAUGAUUUCUGCUUCUGCUCAUGCUGGAACAAAUAGCAAGGAGUGCACCAUCCAAUCUGCUCUGCACAGCUCUUUUGAACAAUGUGAAAGGAGGGUUGCAUGGACUCUCGGGUUUGUGAGGAAAACAAGUGAUCUUAGGCCCUGCCUUAUGCACAAGUUUCUGUUUCUGUUACCAUCCGACACUCCUCGAGCAGCACAGCUUUGGUCUGAACUACAAAUUGUGGAAUUUAGUGAGCAUCAGUUUAUUAUUCAUAUGCACAUCAGUGAGUUAGCUAGUCGCUUUUGUUUUGAGAAAUUGUGGAGCACUGGAGAUUGGUCGCAUCUCAUACUGGUGUGUACUGCUGUGCGGGGGAUUCCUAUUAAUAAAAAAAUGCUGGAAACAGUACAGAUUAUGAGUAUCUUGGUGCUUUGGCAAUUUUGGCGUCAAGAGGAAUUUAAGGGGAGUGGACGAUGCAGACCUGAACAAUUAUCUGUUGUGCUAGGAGCUAGAAUUCAGUUAGUUGUACUAAUCAGUUUUGAGUACCGCCACUUCAAGUUUCAACCAGAUUGGAUACUAUUGAUCAGGCCACCUGCGCAAGAGCGAACAUCAGAGGUCAAAUUUCCGUUGAUCAUGGGCAAAUGUAUUCUUAUUUGCUUGAAGAUUCAAGACAGGAUUAUCGUCACUCUAAACAUACUCGAGUCUGGCACGGGAAUAUACCGGUCGGGCAUGUCUUGGGACCCUGGAGGCUUGCAUUGUUGUUGCUAA
rnacentral:rRNA from 1 species